UGCUGCCGCCUGCUGUCCUGGAGUCAAAAUGACCAACAGUUUGUGGACACCUGGCUAUCAGACCCAUUUGUGCUUGUUGAACAUCCCAGGCCAGAUUCAGGGCCCCUUUGCUGUUGUAAUAAGCGCCACUCUUCGCCUGGAGUUUGGAGCAUGACUGUGGAGAUUUGUUCCCAUUUAGCCACAGGAGCGUGAGUGAGGUCAGGCGCAGAUGGGUGGCGAGGAGGCCUGGUGUUCAGUGGGUUUGAGAUCAGGAUUCUUCAGAUCUUCCACUCCAUGUCUUCCACAGGCACAUUGUCAUGAUUGUCAUGCUGGAACAUGUGUGGAAAUUGUAAUGCUACAGCAUACACAGCCAUUCUACACAAUUGUGCGCUGCAAACUUUGUGGCAACAGUUUGAGGAAGAGCCACAGAUGGGUGUGAUGGUGAGAUACGUACAGAACUGAAAUGAAUCACGACUGGCCUGCUACUAUAAAAGGUCUUCUCCAAGCUGAAAAUUAAUAAAAGGACAUUGACGUAGCAGGUUCUCGGCAGGGAAUUGAGAAGAUCUACGUGUGCGAGCCAAGUUGAGGGAACGGAUGCCAGUGAACCCCCAGGAGAUGUUGGACUGGUAAUCGAAGGUGUAAAGGUUCUUCAGGACAUUGUGCCUUUUGGAUUGGUUCAUGCAUUAAACUUGAGCUACUCUCUUCAACUCAGAUACACAUUAGAAGUAGUACAAAAACUAAUUCUGGAGCUAGAUCUCAUAAAGCACAAGCUUCGAUGAUCUGUGACUUUAAAUGGUUAGGCGUGUUAAAUACUGAACAUAGCUUUGCAGCAUGUUAGAUACUGAGCAGACAUUUUUUUUUUGAUAAGUGGGGGUGCUGAUUUAUUUUCACAUUUAUAAUGCAAUCUGUUUAAAGCUCCAUAUGCAUUUUCUCGACUUUUUAGACUUAAUUUACUGUGCUUUUGACAUAGGCUUACUGUACUUCCUCUUGUUUUAUCUUUACAUACAAGAAUACUGAUGCCUGCUCAAUAUUAAGCAUGCCUGCAUGUUACUUUUACCUUCCACCAUUACGUAAAGUUCUGUUAAAUGCAUGCACAUUUUUCAAACCUGUAGCUAGUUUCAUUUUUUUCAUACGCAGGUAGUGAGAGGCAAUAUUUUGAAAGUAUUUCAGUUAGUGUCUGGUGUAUGGUUUAAGUUUUCUAUGCACAUACUUUAUAGCGGCAAUAUUUAGGUCAAUGUAUACAAUAUAGGUCAUUUGUUAAAUGUUUUGUCUAUAUUUUCUUUAUUUCUCUACUGUGUCACACAAAAACAACUGAAGUGACAUACUGAUAAACUAAAAUGUCUGUUCUAGUAACUUGAUCAGAUCGAGUAGAACCACUGUCCACAAUUUUAUUUUAUAAAUCUACUGAAAGUACAGUGGGGUCCAAAAGUCUGAGACCAUACUGACAACAUUUUUUGCAUUUAAAGAAAAUUUUAGAAACAUAAAGAUAUUUUAGAAGAUAUUCAAGAUUCUGCACUGUUCUAGGUCUCUAUUUAAAUGUAAGCAAAUUUGUGAUAUUGAAGAGAAAGGUUAGAAUUUCUUCAUGUCUGAUCUCCUCUAAUGAAGCAUGCGUUCAGAUGACACUCCGAUGGAUUUGAUCUAAAAUGGGCGUACCGAAUACUAAGAAACUCUACUUUUCACUCAUGUUGUUGUCAAUAAUAUAAUUUGUAAUGAAAAUUGAUGUAUUAAGUUAGAAAAGAAUGCAAAAUACAAGCAUUUUCACUAGUGCUCUCAGACUUUUGGACACCUCUGUAUAUGCAGCUGGUUAAACACAUGUAAAACUAGCCAAAUGUAAACAAACCAUAAAAAUUAAAUAGGAAUUAAAUACCAAUUAAUUUAUGUGUUCAGAGAACACAUAUUUACAUGUGUUUAUAUAAUUUAUAUGUUCAGAGAACCAUCAGAGAAAAGAAUCUGUUAACAUGGCGUCACUGGUUUGGGGUUCUGAGGGAGAAGAGUUCAGCUUGAAUAGGCUAUAGAACGUUAAAGGCUUUAUUACUAUGAUUAAAUGCUUAACGCUUGUUGAAUUUGUAAAUCCCACUUGUAAAUCAGGCCCCAUGUGGUGUCACAAGCCACAGUUUGGGAAUUCCUGAGCAAAAGCAAUGGCGUUGUGAUGAAAUUUCACAGGGCAUCACACUAUUAAAUAGCUGCGUGUCACUUUAAGCAUGUUCAAUUUCACCUUAAGCACAUUGCUCACUACAUACUCACUGUUAUACUGUACUGCUCCUUUGACUGUACAUAUUCAAACUGGUGUUAUACUAUAUCAUGGCAAGGAGAAAUCACACAGAUGUUUCCCCCAGCUGUCACAAGCUGCAUUAAGCUGAUCAGCUUCCUCUGUCA